GAGUACAGAGUACAGUGACUUAAAACACAGACUGAAGGGCUGGAGAUGGAGCACAGUGAGUGAGUGCUUGUCGAGCAUAGCAAAGCCCUGGGUUCAGUACCUGUCUCCAGAAACAAGCCCAACCCCCAGCUUCCUUCCUUCGAAACAACCAUAGAUUCAGUUACUCAGACCUGCUAGGGAUAGCAGACCAGCUCUAUGACACUAGGCAAGGAUUGAGCCUUGGCCUUUUCAUUCCUAAAAAGAUGUAACAAGAGUGGUGACCUGAUAUGGUUACUAACUUCAGACAUCACCAUGGAUCUUCUUUCUAUUGCUAUUAUUAUAGGGCAGAGGGACCAUCAGGAUUUAUAUAAGAUAAUGAACAUGAAAUUCUUAGUACAUCGCCUCUGCUAUGGAACAAAAACAGUAUUAAUAACAACCAGGUGAGGGGACUGAUACUCUGGAAAUGCUUCAUAAAACAACAAGCAGACGCUGAACUUUAGUGACCUCUGGUACCGACACCUUUCAGAUCUAGGACUUCUAGGGAUCUCCAAAAUUUGCCUAUCCUUAAAACAGCAAUUAGGAAAUGUGCUUGGUAGAAAUACUGAAAUGUCUUGGGACUCAUUGAGCUGUUUCACAAUUUCAUUUAGUGUUUUCCAAAGACUCCACAUCCUCUGAGUUUAAAGCCCUCACCAGCCAACAAUUUUCCAGCAAGAAAAACAUUUCCCACGAUGCAGGUCCUUCACUGUGAAAACUGGGUACAUCUUGGGGAACCCAAGGCAGGUUGGUUAGCCUAUACCAGUGCCAGAGAACUACCCAAACUCCACACUUUAAGCAGUUGUCUCAGGAGUUGCCACCCACAGCAGGUUAAGAGCUUCCCCUGUGCUAAGGCCACCGUAUGGGACAUUACCAAAGUCCCCAUCCUUCUCUGAAACAUUAUGCCCAGACAAAGCAGGGCUACCAGAUUAAAUGCACACUGCACAACUGAAUUGGUAGUCCAGAUAAACUGAAUUAUUGUUUAAUAUGUGUGUCCUAAAGGCUGGAUGGAACAUGCUCACAUUUUUAAAAAGCCUAUCGUUUAUCCAAGAGUCAAAUGUAACCGAGUACCCUUUGAUUUGUUAAUCUGGCAAUUCUACAGGUCAGAGCAGUCAGCUGGCAAUGGCAAGCCAAGCUGGCUUCUGGGGAAGGUGCCAGAAAUGCUGCUAAGGGAACCUCCAACAAAAAAAUACAGUUUCCUAUCGACAGCUGUUCUACGCUGAACUUCAGCCCCAGUUCCUUCAUCUGCUGGGCCUGCCUUUGGCCUCUCAGUCUUACUCUAAUCUAGGGAAGCUCUUCCAGGGUGAGAGACCAUAUGGGCCCCGAGACAGGCUGCACAAUGCUUGAGACUCAGGACUCUGCGGUCAACCAAGCUGGGUUCCUAACCCACUCCAGCUUAGGCCAAAGCACAUGGUUUGAGUGGAGAAUGUCCCUGCUGGGUUCAUGUAUUUGAAGACUUGGUCUGCGGUUGGCGGCACGGUUUGAGAGAGGUCAUGGAACCUUUAAGACGUGGAGCCUUCCUUGAUGAGGAAGAGCAUCACCAGAGGCAGACUUUGAUGGUUUAUAGCCUCACCUCACGUACUGUUUGCUCUCUCUGCUUCUGGGGUGUGGACAAUAAUGUAACCAGGUAGUUUCCUGCUCCUGCCCAGCAUGCCAUUCCUUCCCCACCAUUAUGGAUUCUAGUCACCUGGAACCAUAAGCCAAAAUCAACUCUCUCUUCUUUAAGUUGCUUUUGGACAUGGUAUUUUAUCACAGUGACAGAAAAAGAACUAAUACACCUUCCUGCCUGCAGAAUAAUAAAAUCACUAUGAUAUUUUC